rnacentral:rRNA from 1 species
AAAUUGAAGAGUUUGAUCAUGGCUCAGAUUGAACGCUGGCGGCAGGCCUAACACAUGCAAGUCGAACGGUAACAGGAAACAGCUUGCUGUUUCGAUGACGAGUGGCGGACGGGUGAGUAAUGUCUGGGAAACUGCCUGAUGGAGGGGGAUAACUACUGGAAACGGUAGCUAAUACCGCAUAACGUCGCAAGACCAAAGAGGGGGACCUUCGGGCCUCUUGC